rnacentral:lncRNA from 1 species
AGAAAGAAACCACUUUAUUUGAACAGACAAAAUGGAACUUAAUACAUAUGCAAAAGUAAAUUGAUGACACAAGCCACUUCUUUGGAUCCUACCCAGUGUCUACCUUUGCUAGGUUAAAUAGUUACCUUGAGACUAGAAACAUGAGUAACAGGGACAAAUCCACGCAGAGAUUAUGCAUAUUUUGUCUCCUUUCCCCCCACACAAGCUGCAUGUACCUUUGUAAACAUUUGAUUUGUAAAUCAUGUCUAGUACUGCAGACAAAUGUGCUGGGAUGAAAGGAAAAGAAAUCACUGAAAUAGGAACAAAGGUAAUUUACCUGGCUUGGAUCCCCAAGUUUGCAUUUGAUGAUAAAUUUCCACAGUGCCUCAGGUGAGGGGAAGGGAAGGGAUAUUCAGAUGCACUGGGGUGUGGCAUUUUUUUUUUUUUCCUUCUUACAUCCAUAAAGCCUGCUUAAAAAAAAAAAAAACAACCUACAGCAUAACUGAAGGGAUAUUACAUUCUAGUCUAAUUUUAAAUUUCAUUCCCAGGAUCCUCUAAAUAACAGCAGCUUUCAAAUCCUAGCUGCAGCUAGCUACUAAUGAGCUGGGUCCACUGUGAGAGCCUACCUUUUGGAACCUUGGUUUCUCCAUCCAAGGUUAGAGAUAUGGGAUUACAUCACAGACUCUGUUAAUCUCCUGGACCUUCAACCGCUUCUUGCACUUCAAGAUGCUCUCUGAUGACUUCCCAAUUGGGCUGGAAUGUCCUGGGGUUGUCUUUUGUUUUUGUAUGCCCAGAAUUUGUGAGGGGAAAAAAAAAGCCCUAACCAGCUUUAGAAGGCCCAAAACCAGGUUUUAAAUGUGGAAUAAGUCCUCCUACUGGCCCAGAAGGAUCUCAGCAUCUUGCAGAUCAUUUUACUCUCCCCAGUCCUUAAUAAGCAUAUGCUUAGCUAUACAUCCAGCC